rnacentral:rRNA from 1 species
UACGUAGGGGGCAAGCGUUGUUCGGAAUUACUGGGCGUAAAGCGCACGUAGGCGGCUUUGUAAGUUAGAGGUGAAAGCCCGGGGCUCAACUCCGGAAUUGCCUUUAAGACUGCAUCGCUAGAAUUGUGGAGAGGUAAGUGGAAUUCCGAGUGUAGAGGUGAAAUUCGUAGAUAUUCGGAAGAACACUAGUGGCGAAGGCGACUUACUGGACACAUAUUGACGCUGAGGUGCGAAAGCGUGGGGAGCAAACAGG